GAGGGUACAGCACAGUGGUUAGAGUUUAUGCUUAGCAGGCACGAGAUCCUGGGUUCAAUCCCCAGUACUUCCA
rnacentral:tRNA from 1 species